GCCUAAAUAUUUCCCUGCCUU
rnacentral:piRNA from 1 species